GGGGCUAUCGCCAAAUAGUAAGGCAUAGGAUUUUGAUUCCUGCACUGUUGGUUCGAUUCCAACUAGCCCUG
rnacentral:tRNA from 1 species